GUCUUUUAAUUGAAGACUUGUAUGAAUGAUUUGAUGAAAUAUAAACUGUCUCUUUAUUAAAAAUAGAAUUUAAUUUUUUAGUUAAAAAGCUAAAAUUUAUUUAAAAGACGAGAAGACCCUAUAGAGUUUUAUAUUUAAAAUUAUAUUAAUUUUGUAUAAAAUUUUUAUUUAAUAUUUUUUUAAGUAUUUUAUUGGGGUGAUAGAAAAAUUUAAUAAACUUUUUUUUAAAAUUUUACAUUAAUAUAUGAAAUUUUGAUCCAUAAUUUAUGAUUAAAAGAUUAAAUUACCUUAGGGAUAACAGCGUAAUUUUUUUUUUUAGUUCUUAUAAGAAAAAAAGUUUGCGACCUCGAUGUUGGAUUAAG
rnacentral:rRNA from 2 species